AAGAGAGUUUGAUCCUAGCUCAGGAUGAACGCUGGCGGCGUGGAUAAGGCAUGCAAGUAGAACGCCCCGCAAGGGGAGUUGCGAACGAGGUAGUAAUACAUAGGUACAAACCCCCGAGUCAGGAAUAAGCGACCGAAAGGUAGUCUAAUACUUGAUAGUCCCGCAAGGGUAAAGAUUUAUCGCUUGGGGAUUGGCCUGUGCAGUAUCAGCUAGUUGGUAGGGUAAUGGCCUACCAAGGCAAUGACGCUUAGGAGAGCUGAGAGGCUGACCUCCACCGAUGGUACUCAAUGGACGCAAGUCUGACGGAGCGACGCCGCGUGAUCGAUGAAGUCUUUCGGGAUGUAAAGAUCUUUUAUGUAGGAGAAAGUUUUGAUAGUACUACAUGAAUAAGGGGUUGCUAAACUCGUGCCAGCAGCAGCGGUAAUACGAGUACCCCAAGCGUUAUCCGGAAUUAUUGGGCGUAAAGGGUGUGUAGGUUGUUAUGUUAGUCUUUUGUCAAAGCCUUCGGCUCAACCGGAGAAUUGCGGGAGAAACGGCAUAACUAGAGGGCGCGAGAGGUUUGCGGAACUCAUGGUGUAGGGGUGAAAUCCGUUGAUAUCAUGGGGAACACCAAAAGCGAAGGCAGCAAACUGGCGCGUUUCUGACGCUGAAACACGAAAGCGUAGGUAGCGAAUGGGAUUAGAUACCCCAGUAGUCUACGCCCUAAACGAUGAUAUCUAGCUAUUCGGAGUAUCGACCCUCUGAGUGGCACAUAAAACUCAAAGGAAUAGACGGGGACUUGCACAAGCGGUGGAUCAGGUGGCUUAAUUCGAUGGUAAACGAAGAACCUCACCAGGGUUUGAAACUCAUAGGAAAGACCUAAGAAACUAGGUAACUCCGCAAGGAUCUAUGAGCAGGUGAUGCAUGGCCGUCGUCAGUUCGUGGUUUGAACUGUCCCCUUAAGUGGGUCAACGAACGCAACCCUCGUUGUCUGUUAUACGUGUCAGACGAGACUGCCCCCGCCUGUGUGCAUAAGCGCAAAUAUAUUUUGUUGCUUGUGAACAGAGGCGGGGGAGGAAGGAGAGGAUGACGCCAGGUCAGCAUGUCCCUUUGAUACCCUGGGCUGCACACUUGAUACAAUGGUCACUACAACGGGUCGCGACGAGGUAACUCCGAGCUAAUCCUAAUAAAGGUGGCCCCAGUUCGGAUUGAGGGCUGAAACUCGACCUCAUGAAGUUGGAAUCGCUAGUAAUCGCGGGUCAGCUAUACCGCGGUGAAUACGUUCUCAAGUCUUGUACUCACCGCCCGUCAAGUCAGGGGAGCCGUGAGUACCCGAAAUCCCAUCUUGCAUGGGCUUAAGGUAAGCAUGGUAACAAGGACUAAGUCGUAACAAGGCACGGCUAGCGGAAGCUGGUCGUGAAUCAAUU
rnacentral:rRNA from 1 species